rnacentral:lncRNA from 1 species
GUGGCCAGACUGUUCACUUCUCACUCAAAAUCUCUUUCCAUCUCCUUCUGUAGUGAGAAUACCCUGAUUCAUUUGGAAUAGGAAUCACCUUACCUUUCCCAGCCUCACUUCUGGCUGCGAGAGCUCAUGGAGCAGCAUCGAGAUUGAUGGCACAUGUGCAGAGGCCCUGGUGUGGGGCUUUUGUGAAUGUUCUUUAAGUUCCUGCCCAGGCUGACUCUAUCAUACAAGCUGUAACUUCUGCCAGUCCUAUCACCCAGCAAACACAGAGAAACACCUCAUCGGAGCAUUUGCAGAUUCUGUUUCUCCUGCCUGCAGAAAGGGUGGGAGUGGCCAAGUUCAUCUCCAGCUUCGGAAAGGCUUGGUGCCAGAAGCCCUCACUUUGCCCUUCUCAAGUGGGCUAUAAGGGAAAUUCCACAGUAACAAAGACAGAAAGCUACUCUCACUCUUCUUUCUGCGGUUCAGGACCACUUUCUUUAAUUUGUUGCUGUUGAUACACGGAACCUGGUACAUGGGAGAGGUCCAAUUCAUCCUUGUUGAAUGAGUGACUACAGGAAUUUGUCAUCGAGCCCUGAAUGUGAGUUGGUGUUGGUGAUAGGGAAAGUCUCUUGCUCACCUUUGUACUAGUGAAUUGGGAUUGUAUUGGUGAUUGAAUGUUGGAACUCAGCAUUGAUCCUGCAGCUAAUCUAAGGAUGCUGGUGAUAUUGCAACUGCAGAUACUACAGUACCACUAAACACACAGCAGCACCACCAAGCACUAUCCCA